rnacentral:rRNA from 1 species
CCUACGGGAGGCUGCAGUGGGGGAUCUUGCACAAUGGGGGGAACCCUGAUGCAGCGACGCCGCGUGGGUGAAGGAGUGCUUCGGCAUGUAAAGCCCUAUCGGCAGGGAAGAAGCAAGACGAUACCUGACUAAGAAGCCCCUGCUGACUACUUGCCAGCAGCCGCGGUAAUACGUAGGGGGCGCGCGUUAUCCGGAUUCACUGGGUGGAAAGGUAGCGUAGGCGGGCAUGCAAGCCAGGAGGGAAAGCCCGGGGCCCAACCCCGAGUAUGCCCUUGGAACUGCAUGGCUGGAGUGCGGGAGGGGAAGGCGGAAUUCCAGGUGUAGCGGUGAAAUGUGUAGAUAUAAGGAGGAACACCGGUGGCGAAGGCGGCCUGCUGGACCGCGACUGACGUUGAGGCUCGAAAGCGUGGGGAGCGAACAGGAUUAGAUACCCUAGUAGUC